UACGUAGGGGGCGAGCGUUGUCCGGAUUUAUUGGGCGUAAAGAGCUCGUAGGCGGUUUGGCAAGUCGGGUGUGAAAACUCCGGGCUCAACUCGGAGACGCCACUCGAUACUGCCAUGACUCGAGUCCGGUAGGGGAGUGCGGAAUUCCUGGUGUAGCGGUGAAAUGCGUAGAUAUCUGGAGGAACACCGGUGGCGAAGGCGGCAUCCUGGACCGGCAUUGACGCUGAGGCGCGAAAGCCAGGGGAGCAAACGGG
rnacentral:rRNA from 1 species